UGCCUGCCUCAGAUGCAGUGUCUUGGGAGCUCUGGAAACAGGUUGCUUUAGACCUUGGAAAUUUUAAGGGCCUUCUCAUCUGAGCUGCUAGGAGACUCUCCAGUUUACCUUCAGAUGAUGUAUACAGUAUAUCCCGUCAUCAGUCCUGCUCGUGCUUUUAAAACAGUGGAUGCAUAUCAGCAAUACGUGGCAAUGAGAUGGAUGCUGCUGAACGAGGCUACCUUCAUCCCAGUCAGCAUGACAUUGAGACACUGCGCAAGCACAGGGCAGGAUAAUCCAUUGCUCUGAGGAGCCAACACUUUAAUUUAAAGAUUCUCCUAAAGUAUUAUGUAAAUAAUGGAAACAAAAUGCUGAUUAUUCAAGAAACAAAAGCGAAUUCCAGUGAUGUAACACAUGCAGACUGCUAGAGCUGGAAGAGAGUGAAUAUUUUUUAAAAGCUGUGUGAUUGUGUAACUGAAUUGAAAGGAUUAGAUACGAGAAUUCACAAAUAUUCAGGCAAAUACUCAAUGUGUUGAUUUAUUUAAGAGAAGAUGCCUGAGACUGAUGGCCAUGAUCCAAGAUUAUUAAGAAUGAUCAACUCAUUGCAAAACAUUUAAGUGGGUGAUAACUUGGUGACCAGUCUCAGAUGGUGCUGGUCUCUCACGGACACGUCACCUUGUUGUAGUAACUGCUAGAGCUUUGAAUAUGAAAAAAGCCUGUACUCUACAGUACAUAUAGAUUAGUAAUGUGAGGUAAUGCCAAGAGACGGGAUCUUUACCCCACCCAUUGCCUGUAUUUGUUUUUUAACUCUGCGGACCCUAUAUUUUAUUUGGGAAAGCUAAGUAUUAUCUCUAUAGCAAUAUUAAUAAAUAGUUGUUACUGGUUGUCCAGGUUCACCUAGACUUGAAGACAGAGCUUGACACUUACAGAGAAAAUGUUGUUCGCUACAGAACAUUUGACACAAGUACUGACAUCUAAAGCUAAUGCAGAUGGCAGGAUUGGAGUGGUGUGCAGACCUCAGAAAAGGUCUGAGAGGAGAAGUGAAAAUCUACAUAUUUGUGUCUGUGCAUGUAUAUUUGCAUAUAUGUGUGUCUGUAUACACUAACACAAAUUCUAUCUACUUGUGAUAAGUGGAGAUAAAACAGGUGUUUUUGCUGACUUUAUUGAUUCUUGAGGACACAAAGUAUUUUUUUUUCCUAUUUUAUGUUGGGUUAUUUUUUAUAUAGAGUUCACAUGUAUGGUGCAGCUUUGUUGGAGUAUUGG